rnacentral:rRNA from 1 species
GCGAAAGCCUGAUCCAGCAAUGCCGCGUGCAGGAUGAAGGCCCUCGGGUUGUAAACUGCUUUUGUACGGAACGAAAAGCCUGGGGCUAAUAUCCCCGGGUCAUGACGGUACCGUAAGAAUAAGCACCGGCUAACUACGUGCCAGCAGCCGCGGUAAUACGUAGGGUGCAAGCGUUAAUCGGAAUUACUGGGCGUAAAGCGUGCGCAGGCGGUUUUGUAAGACAGUGGUGAAAUCCCCGGGCUCAACCUGGGAACUGCCAUUGUGACUGCAAGGCUAGAGUGCGGCAGAGGGGGAUGGAAUUCCGCGUGUAGCAGUGAAAUGCGUAGAUAUGCGGAGGAACACCGAUGGCGAAGGCAAUCCCCUGGGCCUGCACUGACGCUCAUGCACGAAAGCGUGGGGAGCAAACAGGAUUAGAUACCCUGGUAGUCCACGCCCUAAACGAUGUCAACUGGUUGUUGGGUCUUAACUGACUCAGUAACGAAGCUAACGCGUGAAGUUGACCGCCUGGGGAGU